GUUUUUGCUAGCCUGAUUGGAGCCCUUUAUACUCAUGUUUUGAUAGAACAUACUUUUUAAUGAGUUUGAGAAGAAAGAGAGCAAGUCAGCAAUUAGGUGGGAGUGAAAGUGUUCCCUGUUGUUAU